CCCCAAAGAAAGACACAGUAUGGGCAAAGGAUAGCUUCAAUGGUUCCUAGAAUGGGAAUGCCAUCUGACAUUUGAAUAAAAUAAAAUGAAUGAUGAUUUCAUCAGACAGGUGAUGGACUGACAAGGCCGUGUUCCUGGAGCCACACAGGACUGCUUGGUGUUCCUUGAGUGUGUCAGUAGCCUUUGCAUUCUAUGUCAAGAGAUCCAGGGCAGUCUUUUUCCAUAUAUCCUCAUGGUGGCUCCUCACUUCCUUCAUAUCACUGCUCUGAGAGAAUGCGGAACAGCCCAUUUGGAUACCAGCCAGAAACAUCAAGCCUGCAACUGACAGUCAACCAGAACCAGCUGCACAAGACUGAGAGUCUGCCUUAUUAGCAGAUGCACCUGCCCUAUCAUCUUACCCUGAGAA